UAGGACGGUUGGCGCAGCUGAUCAGCCUGCCGCGUGAGUGAGAAGCCUUCGGGUUGUAAAGCUCUUUUGUUGGGGAAGAUAAUGACCGGGUUAAUACCCGGAGGCCCUGACGGUACCUUGACAGUAAGCACCGGCUUACUUCGUGCCAGCAGCCGCGAUAAUA
rnacentral:rRNA from 1 species